rnacentral:rRNA from 1 species
GACGUAGGGCGCGAGCGUUGUCCGGAUUUAUUGGGCGUAAAGAGCUCGUAGGCGGUUUGUCGCGUCUGCUGUGAAAGACCGGGGCUCAACUCCGGUUCUGCAGUGGGUACGGGCAGACUAGAGUGAUGUAGGGGAGACUGGAAUUCCUGGUGUAGCGGUGAAAUGCGCAGAUAUCAGGAGGAACACCGAUGGCGAAGGCAGGUCUCUGGGCAUUAACUGACGCUGAGGAGCGAAAGCAUGGGGAGCGAACAGG